UGAGUCCACACAGUAAACUGGAAACUAUAAGGUUGAGUGACUGUAAAGAGGCAGAGAGAAGCUGUGCAUCUCAGUGUUCUGCUCUCAGCUCCCAGUCCUCUAGUUUGAAAGAGCUGGACCUGAGUAAGAACCUGCUGGAUUCAAGAGUGACGUCUGCUGGACGGAAGAGUCCAGACUUUACACUGGAAACUGUCAGUGCCAGCGCUGGUAAUGGAGGCGCUACCAGGAGACAGGCCAGUACAUCAGGAG